GCGGGGGUGGCAGAGUGGUCAAAUGCGCAAGGUUGAGGGCCUUGUUCCUUAGUGGAUGCGCGAGUUCAAGUAUUAAGUUGUACUUAAUGAUUUAAAAAAAGUGCAACUUUUUUGAAAGUCUCGUCCCCCGCA
rnacentral:tRNA from 1 species